rnacentral:rRNA from 1 species
UACGGGGGGGGCAAGCGUUGUUCGGAAUUACUGGGCGUAAAGGGCUCGUAGGCGGCCAACUAAGUCGGACGUGAAAUCCCUCGGCUUAACCGGGGAACUGCGUCCGAUACUGGAUGGCUUGAGAUUGGGAGAGGGAUGCGGAAUUCCAGGUGUAGCGGUGAAAUGCGUAGAUAUCUGGAGGAACACCGGUGGCGAAGGCGGCAUCCUGGACCAACACUGACGCUGAUGAGCGAAAGCCAGGGGAGCGAACGGG